UUUUUUUCUUCAUCAUUCUUUUCUUUCUUCAUUUCCAAAGUCGUUGCCAUCACCCUUGUUGGCCAGAACUGUUUCAGUGAUACCCACGUGGCUUCUCGGCCUUCUCUCCACCUUCACCUCCUCUCCUCCCAAAGCUACCAGUGUAAUCUUUGGGACCCGCAUCUGAUCUUGCCACACACCAAUGGCACCCCUGCAGAUCCUCUUCCCUCCCUAGGGGUGCCACGAAGCUUCAAGACACCGCGCCUUUGUGCAUACCGUUCCCUCACCUGGCACCCCCACCACCUUUGCUCAGGCUGAGGAAUUCCUAACCACCUAUCUACAGACUGUUAAAUGUUGCCUCUUCUGGGAGUUCUUCCCAAAUAACCUUUUCCUGCCCCACACAGCAAAACGAAUCCCCCCUUGCGUUCUAGACCUUCCACUGGAACACCUGCUGUGCAGUCCUGGGCUUGGCUCACAUGCACUCCCUCUACGCCUCUGAGUCAGGGUUAUCUGAGCGCGUGCUCUGCACUGUCACUGUACCUCUGAGGUCUACGUGAACUGCCCCCUGUGGGCUGUGGUGCAAAACCUGUGUAUGUGGUGGGGUAUUAUAGCCUUUACGUGCUGUUGUUCACAGAGUCCUCAUAACAACCUUAUAACGCAGCUACAAUUAUUAUCCCCCUUUUGCUGUUAAGGAAACCAAGACUCAGAGAGGCUCAUCAACUUGUCUACAGUCACACAGCUCCUGAGCAGUGAAGCCAG
rnacentral:lncRNA from 1 species